GACGAAGGAUGCAAGCGUUAUCCGGAUUCAUUGGGUUUAAAGGGAGCGUAGGUGGUCUUCUAAGUCAGUGGUGAAAUCCUGUCGCUUAACGAUAGAAUUGCCAUUGAUACUGGAGGACUUGAGUGUAGUUGCCGUUGGCGGAAUAUGACAUGUAGUGGUGAAAUACAUAGAGAUGUCAUAGAACACCGAUUGCGAAGGCAGCUGACGAAACUAUAACUGACACUGAGGCUCGAAAGUGUGGGGAUCAAACAGG
rnacentral:rRNA from 2 species